rnacentral:rRNA from 1 species
UACAGAGGGGGCAAGCGUUGUUCGGAAUUACUGGGCGUAAAGGGCGCGUAGGCGGCCUUCUAAGUCGAACGUGAAAUCCCCGGGCUCAACCCGGGAACUGCGUCCGAUACUGGAAGGCUUGAAUCCGGGAGAGGGAUGCGGAAUUCCAGGUGUAGCGGUGAAAUGCGUAGAUAUCUGGAGGAACACCGGUGGCGAAGGCGGCAUCCUGGACCAAUUCUGACGCUGAGGAGCGAAAGCGUGGGGAGCAAACAGG